rnacentral:rRNA from 1 species
UACGUAGGGCGCAAGCGUUAUCCGGAAUUAUUGGGCGUAAAGAGCUCGUAGGCGGUUUGUCGCGUCUGCCGUGAAAGUCCGGGGCUCAACUCCGGAUCUGCGGUGGGUACGGGCAGACUAGAGUGAUGUAGGGGAGACUGGAAUUCCUGGUGUAGCGGUGAAAUGCGCAGAUAUCAGGAGGAACACCGAUGGCGAAGGCAGGUCUCUGGGCAUUAACUGACGCUGAGGAGCGAAAGCAGUGGGAGCGAACAGG